UUUUUAUUAGCUAAAUUGGUGAUACCCCCAAACACUUUAUACCCUAACAUGCUCUGAUGCCUUCUCCCUUUAUCCAAGAUGGUAGUUGGCUUGAAUGAGCAUUCGGUGGAUGGGGCAUCAUGUGAGCCCUUCUUCUACUUACAGUUCUUUGAUGGAGUUGCUAGAUCAGAAUCGUAGAAAGAGGCCGGAGAAGCUGCCCGUUGACCUCCCUGCUAGUUCAAGUUCAAAGCCCUAACCCUCCCUCUCUCUAUUGAAGCCCUUUAAUUUCUCUCUGAUUCGAAGCGAACUGUUGAUCUCCAUAACCAAUGCUUCAAUUACUGAAGCCCUAACCCCCCUCUCUCUCACUCGAAGUAAACAAUCAAUUGUACCAAUAAUUGAUUCAUUUUAUAAGAGGUAUUUCCUGGCCCAACUUUGCUCUGCUACUUUAUAAUCCCUGGCUACUUUGAGCUAACAUCACAUCUUUUUUUCAUUGACAAGAACCACACUCACACCCAACAUCUCAUCUUCUAGUUUACUAUUCCUAUUUAAUUAGUGCAAUCUUUGGUCCAAAUCUGAAGAUUCUUAAUCCGGGAGAGUUCGCGGGUUUUGUCUCGAUACCUUUGCCUGUCGGGACAUGGGGUGGUUAUCCAGGUCUGCAGUUGCUGCUAUUUUUUUGUUGCUGCUCUAUGUAGUUUUUGCUGCUGCACCGAAAACAAGUUACAGAUGUAAGGGGAAGCCUUUUUUGGCAAGUAAAUAUCAAGGGAAAGGCUUUUUUAUUUUUAUUUUAUUUAUUUAUUUUUUUUUUUAGAUGCAUUUUUUGUUGAGUUGGCUUAGGUGGUUGGUUACGUCUUCUAUGAUUUUUGGCCAAUACUGAACAUAGGGAUUUUCUAAAAUUUGCUUGUAGUCUGUUGUGACAGUGUCCUUGUGAUGCUUUGUGAAAUGCAAUCAUAUUAUUUAGCGGGGGAAAAAAAGAUGUAUGAGGUGGAUCAUGUAUAUUGGUUUCUGAUUUUUGUAGCUCAUGCCCGGAUGGUUAUGAUGUUAUUGGUCCAUUUUAUGUGGAUUCGGGUUCGAUCA